rnacentral:rRNA from 1 species
GGCGAACGCUGGCGGCGUGCCUAAUACAUGCAAGUAGAACGCACAGUUUAUACCGUAGCUUGCUACACCAUAGACUGUGAGUUGCGAACGGGUGAGUAACGCGUAGGUAACCUGCCUGGUAGCGGGUGAUAACUAUUGGAAACGAUAGCUAAUACCGCAUAAUAUUAAUUAUUGCAUGAUAAUUAAUUGAAAGGUGCAAUUGCACCACUACCAGGUGGACCUGCGUUGUAUUAGCUAGUAGGUGAGGUAACGGCUCACCUAGGCGACGAUACAUAGCCGACCUGAGAGGGUGAUCGGCCACACUGGGACUGAGACACGGCCCAGACUCCUACGGGAGGCAGCAGUAGGGAAUCUUCGGCAAUGGACGAAAGUCUGACCGAGCAACGCCGCGUGAGUGAAGAAGGGUUUCGGAUCGUAAAGCUCUGUUGUAAGAGAAGAACGGGUGUGAGAGUGGAAAGUUCACAAUGUGACGGUAUCUUACCAGAAAGGGACGGCUAACUACGUG